UACGAACUGUGCGACCGUUAUUCGGAAUCACUGGGCUUACAGGGUGCGUAGGCGGCUUGUUAAGUAGGGUGUGAAAGCCCCCGGCUCAACCGGGGAAUUGCGCCCUAAACUGGCGAGCUGGAGUGAGAUAGGGGUGUGUGGAACUUCCGGUGGAGCGGUGAAAUGCGUAGAUAUCGUAAGGAAGACCAGUGGCGAAGGCGGGUCACUGGCCCGAUACUGACGCUGAGGCACGAAAGCGUGGGGAGCAAACAGG
rnacentral:rRNA from 1 species